rnacentral:rRNA from 1 species
UACAGAGGGUGCAAGCGUUGUUCGGAAUUAUUGGGCGUAAAGCGCGUGUAGGCGGCUUUCUAAGUCUGGUGUGAAAGCCCGGGGCUCAACCCCGGAAGUGCACUGGAUACUGGAAAGCUAGAGGGCGAGAGAGGAGAUUGGAAUUCAUGGUGUAGGGGUGAAAUCCGUAGAUAUCAUGAGGAACAUCUGUGGCGAAGGCGAAUCUCUGGCUCGUUUCUGACGCUGAGACGCGAAAGCGUGGGGAGCAAACAGG